GCAGCCACGCCGACACCAUGCCAACGGUCUGAGUGAGUUUGAUCGUGACUUCUGCCUCUCUGCAAAAUGACAUUGCAGUUGUUUCUUAAAGAUAAAGGAAAGGCUCGCGGCAUAGGGCACUAUGUGGGGUUCUGUGUUUGGGCUGUGAUCUGCGUGGUGUUAAUGCCACCCCUGAACCUUCCCGGGGAGCUGCAUCCUUUCCGAUGCUUUGAGCCCCUGGGAGGUGAUCAGCAAGCAGCCUUCAGUCCUUCCAAAAUGACAAGCCUCACCAUCUGUACAGGUGGACGGUACAAAUGCUGAGGUCUUUUGACCUUAGAAACAGUGCAGAAAAGUUUCCAGUGCCCUUUUCUCUCUGAUAGAGCUGCAGCAAUUCCUGUCACAAUCAGUUACACCGGAAGAACUCAGUUAAUUUUGGCGCUGAUAGAAAAAGAAGAAAGCCCUCCUGUAAAUCCUGGUUCUAAACCUACUGCUUAGCCCUGCUAACUCCUGUGCCCGCGAAUAAUGUUACAGCUUGUUCAAGAUCCCUUGGCGCAGCCACCUGGAGAGAAAACCCAACUGCUAGGGCUUGCAUGGAGCCGGAGCAACUGACUGCAGGAAAAAAAGUCCAAUUGCUGUCUGCAGUGAGUCUGCAGUCUCACAUCUCGGUCUGGGUAGGAAACAAUUUGAGAUUUCAGAAAUUUCUGUUUCAAAGGAAGGCCUUUUGAUGUGUCUUUUUGGUUGAUGAUUAAAAGCAAUUAGAUGGUACUCAAAACACUUGGAUGGGACUUUAGUCUGCCAUAUGGCAGGCGUGUCCUAACAUCUAGGCAGCUGCAGGGAUAAAACAGUCUUUCUUGAGAUUAGCAUUAAAUACAUUAUGCAAGGGAGAGGCUUUAAAAUUUUUCUUCCAUACCCAGUGGGACUGUAUACAAAACACGUCCAAGAAGUCAGAUUGAGACACAACCCCGCAAAUGUGAGUGUGGAACACUCAUGAAAGUGGAGAUCCUGGUGUCGGUCCCAGAUCCAAAGCAGGAACCACUGCCCAAGGCAACGUUGGGCCAAGUUUGAUUUGGCACUGACAAAACCAACUCCAUGGGCUCCCGCCUCAGGCACUUGAACCAGUACUCCAGACUGCCUGAGCCCUGAAGCCAU
ensembl:lncRNA